UACGUAGGGGGCAAGCGUUGUCCGGAUUUAUUGGGCGUAAAGAGCGCGUAGGCGGCUCGGUAAGUCCGCCGUGAAAGUCCAGGGCUCAACCCUGGAAUGCCGGUGGAAACUGUCGGGCUGGAGUCCGGAAGAGGCGAGUGGAAUUCCUGGUGUAGCGGUGAAAUGCGCAGAUAUCAGGAGGAACACCAGUGGCGAAGGCAGCUCUCUGGGACGGUACUGACGCUGAGACGCGAAAGCGUGGGGAGCAAACAGG
rnacentral:rRNA from 1 species